rnacentral:ncRNA from 1 species
CUCUUAACAUAUUUGCUGGUGGACAUAACUUACUGCGAAAAGCGAAAGACUGGAGACCCCGGGGACGUUGACGGCCUCGAUCUACCUCGAACUUGGAACGGGCGAAACGGACUGCUCCUCUCCCGAUCGGAGGCGGCCGUAUAUCGCAGCCAUUGUGACGCGACGAAUGCACAGUGCCAAAUGGGCCACUUUUGAUAAGCAGAACUGGUGAUGUGGGAUGAACCGAACGUCCGGAUAAGGUUCCUUACGCUUCACCCAUUAGGUCCCCGAAAGGGUGUCGGUCGAUAUGGACAGCAGGACUGUGGCCACGGAAGUUGGAAUCCGGCCCCGAAAAUGGAUGGCGCUGGAGCGAGCGACCAAUGCCGGACCGGCUGGGAGACAGUGAUCUCCUUGUCAA